ACCCAAUUCAACUGGGGAACUUGUUAAAAUGGAGAUUUUAAUUUUUUUUAGAGUAAGGCCCGAGAAUCUCCAUGUCUAACAAGCUUCCGGAUGCUGCUAGU
rnacentral:pre_miRNA from 1 species